CCUACGGGUGGCAGCAGUGAGGAAUAUUGGUCAAUGGACGAGAGUCUGAACCAGCCAAGUAGCGUGAAGGAUGACUGCCCUAUGGGUUGUAAACUUCUUUUAUAUGGGAAUAAAAUGUUCCACGUGUGGGCUUUUGUAUGUACCAUAUGAAUAAGGAUCGGCUAACUCCGUGCCAGCAGCCGCGGUAAUACGGAGGAUCCGAGCGUUAUCCGGAUUUAUUGGGUUUAAAGGGAGCGUAGGUGGAUUGUUAAGUCAGGUGUGAAAGUUUGCGGCUCAACCGUAAAAUUGCAGUUGAAACUGGCAGUCUUGAGUACAGUAGAGGUGGGCGGAAUGCGUGGUGUAGCGGUGAAAUGCUUAGAUAUCGCGAAGAACUCCGAUUGCGAAGGCAGCUCACUGGACUGCAACUGACACUGAGGCUCGAAAGUGUGGGUAUCAAACAGGAUUAGAUACCCCUGUAGUC
rnacentral:rRNA from 1 species